GAUGAACGCUGGCGGCGUGCUUAACACAUGCAAGUCGAACGGAAAGGCUCCUGCUUGCAGGGGUACUCGAGUGGCGAACGGGUGAGUAACACGUGGGUGAUCUGCCCUGCACUUCGGGAUAAGCCUGGGAAACUGGGUCUAAUACCGGAUAGGACGAUGUUUUGGAUGCCAUUGUGGAAAGUUUUUUCGGUGUGGGAUGAGCUCGCGGCCUAUCAGCUUGUUGGUGGGGUAAUGGCCUACCAAGGCGUCGACGGGUAGCCGGCCUGAGAGGGUGUACGGCCACAUUGGGACUGAGAUACGACCCAGACUCCUACGGGAGGCAGCAGUGGGGAAUAUUGCACAAUGGGCGCAAGCCUGAUGCAGCGACGCCGCGUGGGGGAUGACGGCCUUCGGGUUGUAAACUCCUUUCGCUAGGGACGAAGCGCAAGUGACGGUACCUGGAGAAGAAGCACCGGCUAACUACGUG
rnacentral:rRNA from 1 species